rnacentral:rRNA from 1 species
CGGGUGGUAAUGCCGGAUGCUCCAUCACACUGCAUGGUGUGUUGGGAAAGCCUUUGCGGCAUGGGAUGGGGUCGCGUCCUAUCAGCUUGAUGGCGGGGUAACGGCCCACCAUGGCUUCGACGGGUAGCCGGCCUGAGAGGGCGACCGGCCACAUUGGGACUGAGAUACGGCCCAGACUCCUACGGGAGGCAGCAGUGGGGAAUAUUGCACAAUGGGCGCAAGCCUGAUGCAGCGACGCCGCGUGAGGGAUGGAGGCCUUCGGGUUGUAAACCUCUUUUGUUAGGGAGCAAGGCAUUUUGUGUUGAGUGUACCUUUCGAAUAAGCACCGGCUAACUACGUGCCAGCAGCCGCGGUAAUACGUAGGGUGCAAGCGUUAUCCGGAAUUAUUGGGCGUAAAGGGCUCGUAGGCGGUUCGUCGCGUCCGGUGUGAAAGUCCAUCGCUUAACGGUGGAUCCGCGCCGGGUACGGGCGGGCUUGAGUGCGGUAGGGGAGACUGGAAUUCCCGGUGUAACGGUGGAAUGUGUAGAUAUCGGGAAAGAACACCA